CGUAAAUAGAUCCCGACAUAGACCACAAGGAUCAUUUGACUUUCCCCAACUUGGAGGUGUGUUUUUCCAUUGAUCCUUUAGAGAACGGAAAGCAGCAGCUGCAAAAUUCAUGGAUUCUAAUGCAUUCUAAUUACAAGUUACCACAUAUAACUGAUGACACAUUUACUUCACAUGGGUUCAUUUGUAAGACAUAUUUACAAAAUAAAAGUUAGCGAACUUGGUGUGAGAGUCAAGAAAUAUUUGGCCUUUCAUUGGUUUCUUUACAUUUUCUUUACAGAUUGAUUUAUUCUAUUUAAAUGCUAGAGCAUUGAAAUUGAAUCUAUUUCUUGUCACUGUUUAUAGCAAUGUCUGUUACAUGUCAUUGCAAUUCUUUUAGUAAGACAAUUUUCUUCAAUUCUCUUCCAACUUCUUCCCUUUUCUUUUUUUAUCAGCUGAACCUGGAAAAACACUGACUGAAUAUUUUUAGCCUACUAGACAAAAUGGAAUUGAAACAUUGAAAAAAAAAAAUCAUUACAAGUAACCUUCAUACAUUAAAUGUUUACUAGGGUUUUACGAAAUGGUUUCUUGAUAUCUUGCAGGCGGUGUCCAAUAUUUACUAGAUAAGUGGCAGGCUGAUAUUUGCCCUUCUACUUGUUUGACUUUAGAACUGAUAGUAAGCGGGAACUAUUGGUCAUAGGUCAGUGAGUGGUGCAUGCUUUUCAGACAAUCAUGCCAUAUGGGAUAUCUACAAGUUAGUAAUAUCGCUUUCUUAACUAAUAUGGGGAUGCAAAUGCCUGGAUUAUUGAUCUUUUCUAAUCUUAGAUGCUUUAGUUUCUAGUUCAGGCUCUUUCAUGAGUAGAAUGUACUCUCCUUUUCAUAUUUUCAUCAAGGGAUACCAAAAUAUUACGAUUUAAUUUGUGACAGGAAUACUUCUCAUGAUCUGUUUCCAUGCAGAAUUUGCUUGAUGUUGAUGCCCAUAGAAAAAUACAUAUUUGUGAUGACAUUAUGUUGGUUGAGCUUGUGUUUGUGACGAAAAUUGGAACUUUUGAUUACAGGCCCAUCUUCUUUUAAGUUUAUGGAUUGUGUUUGGAACUUUCAGCAUAUAUUUUAGUGUUUUUUCUUUUAUUCGCUUGUGACCUUUUUUUCCUAAGUUCUGAGGUUGUUCAUGGUGAUGUGGUGUUGCCAGAUCAAUAAAGUCACAUUCUGCUUGACUCUAGAGAUCAUUCAUCAGAAACAUUAGUGGGCCUGGAUUUCUUAGUUGGUGGGUUGGAUGAUAGUUAGCAAACAAGGAAACUGCAAAGAAGGUACGAGAUGUUGCAGAUAUGCUUUUCUUGUUCAAUGCUUUAUAACUGUGUGAGCAGAACUUGGGAUUGUUAUGAUUGUUCUCAUGAGUGGAACUUGAUUGUAGACCUAUAUUUCAUCACGCUUGCAGGAGCUAAGAGUUGAUGGAACGCGUGCUCAAUUUCUAUGUUUACAAGGAAGGAAAAAACCCAUAUUCGUUACUCCAAUGCUCGGAGGAAUUUAUGCCUCUGAGGGA